rnacentral:lncRNA from 1 species
UGCAAAUUUAUCGUUAUUAUUAUUAUAAUUGGACUAUUGGAGACGAACUUAAAUAGAGCAACAUGAACAAUGAUGAUUCAUAUAACCGACAACAAAUUUGAGAUUGCAGCAUAGUAGUUUUAGGAACAAUGCAAACACAGCAAGAAUGACAACUAAUAUAUGGUAGUACCCGGUAGAAAGCUAUAGUCCAACCAUUUCCCGAAUUUCAAGGGUGAGAUUUGUAUUUUUUGGACUUCUUUUAUUCAAGUACCGCUAGUUGCGGUUUCAGAACUGCGAUCCUAGACUACUUCAUUCCCUAAGCAUUUUACAUUUUCUCUACAUCUAAAUCUAUCCUGCAAAACUUUUUUCCAGCCAAAAGCACAUAACCCUACAAAAUUGUUCCUACAAUUUGGAUAAUUCAUUACAUGAUAUGCACUCUAGAACACGUUUAAGGUUCAAGCAAUGUAGAUCGACUCAAGACAAGGUACAAGUAGAGCUCAAAAGAAUUCGAGAGUGCCGGUUAUAGUGAUUGGUGGGUUUAUAUUAAUGCGAGUAGCCUUCCCUUGAGAAAGUAACUGCGGUAGUGUAUUGGCAUCUUUGGCUACAACUCCUUCCCCUGUCCAUAAUGUGACAUGAGGCCAUUGGUUUUUAGAAUCAACCUUCUCACCUUCAACAGAGCAAGGUUUUGCUUAUAGUGCAGCCAAUUUUUCGGAGAACAACAAAGCAGCCACCUCUACUGGCACCUUUUGGUGCAGCCAGGUUUUGCUUCUAGUGCAGCCAAUUUUUCGGAGAACAACAAAGCAGCCACCUCUACUGGCACCUUUUGGAGAAGAAAGCAACCAUACUCGGCAACUGCAGUGACACCAUGACUUCUCUUAUGAGCCAGGGUCAAAUGGGCC